GAGGGGGUUUCACCGUGUUGGCCAGGCUAGUCUCAAACUCUUGACUGUCACAUGCGUCUGUGUGAAGAGAGUCCACAAACAGGCUUUGUGUGAGCAACAAGGCUGUUUAUUUCACCUGGGUGUAGGCAAGCUGAGUCCAAAAGGCAGUCAGCAAAGGGUGGUGGGAUUAUCAUUAGUUCUUAUAGGUUUGGGAUAGGCAGUGGAGUUAGGAGCAAUUUUUUGCAGGCAGGGGGUGGAUCUUACAAAGUACAAAGGGUGGGGAGAACAUUACAAAGUACCUUCUUAAGGGUGGGGGAGCAUAUUACAAAGUACCUUCUCAAGGGUGGGGAGGGUGUAUUGUACAAAGUACAUUCACAAGGGUGGGGGAAUAUCACAAAGUACAUUAUCACAAGGGCGGGGAGGGUGUAUUGUCACAAAGUCAAUUGAUCAGUUAGGGUGGGGCAGGAAUGGUGGAAUGUCAUCAGUUAAGGCAGGAAUUGGCUAUUUUCACUUCUUUUGUGGAUCUUCAGUUGCUUCAGGCCAUAUGGAUGUAUACGUGCAGGUCACAGGGGAUAUGAUGGCUUAGUUGGGCUCAGAGGCCUGACAUUCCUGUCUUCUUAUAUUAAUAAGAAAAACACAACAAAAUGGUGUUGAAGUGUUGGGGUGGCGAACGUUUUUUGGGGGUGGUAUGGAGAGAUAAUGGGCAAUGUUUCUCAGGGCUGCUUCGAAUGGGAUUAGGGGUGGCAUGGGAACCUAGAGUGGGAGAGAUUAAACUGAAGAAAGAUUUUGGGGUAAGGGGUGAUAUUGUGGGAUUGUUGGAAGGAGCAUUUGUCAUAUAGAAUGAUUGGUGAUGGCCUGGAUGCAAUUUUGUAUGAACUGAGAAACUGAACGGAAGACACAAGGUCUGAAUAAGAGAAGGCGAAAAACAGGUAUUAAAGGACUAAGAAUUGGGAGGACCCAGGACAUCCAAUUAGAGAGUGCCCAAGGGGGUUCAGUGUAAUUAUUUGCUUGGUUGGUGAGUUUUUGGGCUCUAUCCUUGAGUUUUUUUAUGUUGUCAUACACCAGGCCAGAUUGAUUUAGGUAAAAACAACACUCUUCAUUUAAAAAUAUACAGAGUCCCCUUUUUUUAGCAAUGAGUAAGUCGAGGCCUCGGUGAUUUUGGAGGAAAGAGAAAGGCAAAGCCAGCAAUUGUUUGUUAAAGAAGGAUUAGAAACGGCUAGGAGAGAGUGAGUGAUAUUGAUAGUGUGGUAGAGAUAGCUGGGGAGAGUAGAGGGUGGCAUAAGAACAGGAAUGAGAAUAAGUGAGUAUAAAAGUAGGCUGGGCGCGGUGGCUCAUGCCUGUAAUCCCAGCACUUUGGGAGGCUGAGGUGGGUGGAUCACGAGGUCAGGAGAUCAAGACCAUCUUGGCUAACAUGAUGAAACCCCAUCUCUACUAAAAAAAUACAAAGAAUUAGCCAGGCGUGGUGGCAGGCGCCUAUAGUCCCAGCUACUCAGGAGGCUCAGGCAGGAGAAUGGCAUGAACCCGGGAGGCAGAGCUUGCAGUGAGCCGAGAUCGCACCACUGCACUCCAGCCUGGGCAACAGAGCGAGACUCCAUCUCAAAAAAAAAAAAAAAAGUGAGUAUAAAAGUAAAGAAUAGGACUUCAUCAGGGUGGAAGUAUUGGAGUGUGCCCUGUCAGCAAAGAUCAUCCAUCCACUCCAAGAGGGAGUCAAGAGUGGAGGAUUGGGGAUAGUACCAGGAGAUAUCCGCUACGAUGGUUUGGAGGAAAAGUGUAAACUGGCAGUGUAAACAAGGGCAGGGCAUUUACGAGUAGUUUAGAAUGGUGAAUAGGAGUAUGACUAGCCAGAAGAUAGUAGGGAUGACAAGUUUUUGUGGUGCAGUCCAAUUAGUGGGGGGUGACUGCGUAAAGCCCUAUUGUAAAGAGUAGGGUAAGGAAGAAGAGACCUAAUAAAAAUGAAAGGAUGUAUUAGGCUUAUCAGGGUUAUUACUGUUCUUCAGAAAUGUGAGUUUAAGGGAAGUAGAGGAGAGUACUUGCAACUUCCAGGAGGAAGAGGAGAGAUCAGGCUGUCCAACGGACACAGCUUUAUUCUGGAACAGUGAACCCAAGGGGAGGGUCCUGCAGGUGGACGGCAGUUGGGGUACUAUAGAUGACUAAGUAGGGUCCAGUCCAUCAAGGUUGUAGAGUUUAAGGGGUCAGAUUCUUAACAAGAACUGAUCGUCCAGCUAGGGUGUCUUCAUAUGGCUGGGAAUCUGGAGUAGGCAAGAGAAGAUUAGCAGCCUGGCGAAUUUCCUGUCUAGUCUGCUGGAGGACUGGAAGAUAAUCAACUAGAGGGCUGGUGUCUAGAAUGAGACUGGGGCCUAAUAAAAAGGAGCAUCCAUACAGGAGCUCAAAUGGGCUGCACCCUGCAGCAUCCCGAGGACAGGCCUGAAUUCUGAGAAGGGCAAGUAGUGAAAGUACUGUCCAGUCCUUUUUAAGUUGAAGGCUGAGUUUGGUGAGGUGUGUCUUUAGAAGACCAUUAGUCUGUUCUACCUUUCCUGAAGAUUGAGGAUGGUAAGGGGUAUGAAGGUUCCACUGAAUACCAAGAGCCUGGCAAACUGCUUGGUUGAUUUGACUAAUAAAGGCCGGUCCGGGCUGCCCACCGUCUGGGAUAUGAGAAGCACCUCUGCCCAGCUGCCCGCCAUCUGGGAAGUGAGGAGUGCCUCUGACCAGCCACCGCCCUGUCUAGGAUGUGAGAAGCGCCUCUGCCCGGCUGCCCACCAUCUGGGAAGGGCGGAGCACCUCUGCCUGGCUGCCCCACUGUCUGGGAAGUGAGGAGCACCUCUGCCCAGCUGCCGCCCAGCUGCCACCCAUCUGGAAAGUGAGGAGCACCUCUGCCCGGCUGCCGCCCUGUCUAGCAAAUGAGGAGCGCCUCUGCCCAGGCUCCCCACCCCCACCGUCUGGGAUGUGAGGAGCGCCUCUGCCUGGCUACCACGCUGUCUGGCAAGUGAGGAGUGCCUCUCUCUGGUCGCCGCCCUGUCUGGGAAGAGAGGAGCACCUCUUCCUGGCCGCCAACCUUCUGGGAAGCUAGGAGCCCAUCUGCCCGGCCACCCAACUGACUGGGAAGUGAGGAGCACCUCUGCCUGGCUGCCCACCAUCUGGGAAGUGAGGAGUGCCUCUGCCUGGCCACUGUGCAACCCUCCAAGUGUGAAGUGACAGCCUUGUGUGUGUGAUCUUUCUGCCUUCCCCAUGUUUGCAUUUUCGAUAUUAAAGUUUACUUUUCAAUUAAAGGUUUUAAAUUGGAGGAAAAAAGAAAAGGCCGGUCCGUUAUUGGACUGUAUAGAGGUGGGAAGGCCAAACCAAGGAAUUAUGUCUGACAGAAGGGAAGAAAUGACUGUGGUGGCCUUCUCAGACCCUGUGGGAAAGGCCUCUACCCAUCCAGUGAAAGUGUCUACCCAGACAAAGAGGUAUUUUAGUUUCCUGACUCAGGGCAUGUGAGUAAAGUCAAUUUGCCAGUCCUGGGCAGGGGCAAAUCCCUGAGCUUGAUGUGUAGGAAAGGGAGGGGGCCUGAGAUAUCCCUGAGGAGUAGUAGAAUAGCAGAUGGAAUACUGAGAAGUGAUUUCCUUGAGAAUAGAUUUGCACGAUGGAAAGGAAAUGAGAGGUUCUAAGAGACAGGUUAGCGGCUUGUAACCUACAUGGAGGAGGUUAUGAAAUGACGACAGAAUAGAAUGGGCCUGUGAGGCUGGAAGGAGGUAUUUUCCUUGGUCCAAGAACCAUUUGCCUUGAGUGGGGAGGGAUUGAUAGGUGGAAACUUCAGUGGGAGAGUAAGUAGGAGUGACUGAUGAGAAAGAGAAAACCUGGCAGUGAGGGACAGAAGUAGGUAUACUGGCUGCUUCUUUAGCUGUCUUAUCAGCAUAAUUGUUGCCUUGAGCAAUGGGGUCUGAGGCCCUUUGAUGGCCUUUGCAGUGAAUGACUCUAGCUUCCUUUGGAAGUAAAGUGGCCUUGAGAAGAGUUUUUAUUAAAGAGGCAUUAAUGAUGGAGGACCCCUGCAUAGCAAGGAAACCUCUUUCAGCCCAUAUAACAGCAUGGUGGUGCAGGAUAUGGAAGACAUAUUUAGAGUCAGUAUAAAUAUUGACAUGUAGUCCCUUUGCAAGAGUGAGGGCCUGAGUUAAGGCAAUGAGUUUGGCUUGCUGAGAGGUAGUGGAGGGGGGCAGAGCAGUAGUCUCAGUGAUAGAUGUGGAAGACACUAUAGCAUAGCCUGCCUUUGAUGGUGAUUGGUGAUUGGGCCUGGAAGAACUACCAUCAAUAAACCAAGUGUGAUCAGGGUGAGGGACAGGAAAGAAGGAAAUAUGGGGAAAUGCAGUGAAUGCCAGGUGGAUCAGAGAGAUACAGUCAUGGGGGUCAGGUGUGGUAUCAGGAAUAAUGUGGGGGCCAGCCUAAAACAGUAAGGUCAAGUUGUUUGGACAGAAAGGCUACAGGGCAUUGUCCUGGCUCUUGUGUAAGAAUUCCAACUGCACAGCCCUGCACUUUGGCUGUGUCUAAUGAAAAAAGGUUGGGAUGAGUUAGGGAGAGCUAGUGUGGGAGCAGCUUCUCAGGCUGUUUUUAAGGAAUGGAAAGAGGAGUGGGGAAAGGAUUUAGGAUCUACGGGGUCAGCUAGGUUUCCUUUUGUGAGUUUAGUCAGGAUGGCAAAACCAGGUAUCCAAAGGUGAAAGUAUCCAAUCCUGCCUAGGAAGGAAAGGAGUUGUUGUUCUGUAGAAGGGGUUGGGGUUUGAGAGAUCAGCUGGACAUGAUUGGCAGGGAGAACACGGAAGUUUUCAUGAAGAAUUAUGCCCAGGUAGGUAACAGAUGGGGAAGAAAUUUGAGCUUUGGAGGGGGAUGUGCGAUGUCCUUUUGAGAAUAGAUGUUGGAGGAGCAGGAGGGUGUUCUGUUGGGAAGAUUUGUAGGAGGGGCUAUAAAGUAGAAGGUCAUCAAAAUAUUUAAUAAGUUGAGAAGCAGAUGGAUGGAAAGAAAGUAAAUUAUGAGAAAGAGCUUGACUGAAGUAAUGGGGACUGUCCAUGAAGCCUUGCGGCAGUACACUCUAGGUAAGUUGCCGAGACUGAUGGGUGUCAGGGUCAGUCCAAGUGAAAGCGAAGAGAGGCUGGGAUGAAGGGUGCAAAUUAAUAGUAAAUAAAGCAAGUUUGAGAUCUAGAACAGAAUAAUGGGUUGUGGAGGAGUUGUGGAGGGAAGUACUGAGGAUAGGAGAGUAUAUGGGUUUAGAACCACGGGGUGAAUAGGCAAGACAAUUUGGUUGAUAAGAUGCAGAUCCUGAACUAACCUGUAAGACUUGUCUGGUUUUUGGACAGGUAAAAUGGGGGAAUUGUAAGGAGAGUUUAUAGGCUUUAGAAGGCCAUGCUGUAGCAGGCGAAUGAUAACAGGCUUUAAUCCUUUUAAAGCAUGCUGUGGGAUGGGAUAUUGGCAUUGAGUGGGGUAAGGGUGAUUAGGUUUUAAUGGAAUGGUAAGGGGUGCAUGAUAGGUCACCAAGGAGGGAGUAGAGGUGUUCCAUACUUGUGGAUUAAGGUGAGGAGAUACAAGGGGAGGAUGCGAAGGAGGCUUUGAACUGGGGAAAAGGGCUGCAAUGAAGUGUGGCUGUAGCCUGGGAAUAGUCAGGGAAGCAGGUAAUUUAGUUAAAAUGCCUCGACCUAAUAAGGGAACUGGGCAGGUGGGGAUAACUAAAAAGAGUGCAUAAAAGAAUGUUGUCAGCUGGGCGCAGUGGCUCACGCCUGUAAUCCCAGC
rnacentral:lncRNA from 10 species